UACGUAGGUGGCAAGCGUUGUCCGGACUUAUUGGGCGUAAAGCGCGCGCAGGUGGUUUCUUAAGUCUGAUGUGAAAGCCCACGGCUCAACCGUGGAGGGUCAUUGGAAACUGGGGGACUUGAGUGCAGGAGAGAAGAGUGGAAUUCCACGUGUAGCGGUGAAAUGCGUAGAGAUUUGGAGGAACACCAGUGGCGAAGGCGACUGUCUGGUCUGUAACUGACACUGAGGCGCGAAAGCGUGGGGAGCAAACAGG
rnacentral:rRNA from 1 species